CAAAUUAUAGCUUAUAGAGCAUUUUAGUUACAUUAAAAGGGUAUUGUUUAAUCAAUUAAUUUGA
rnacentral:tRNA from 1 species